UUUACCUUAGUCUCUCACCAGGCAGGUCCUUGGCUGAGGGAGCAUAAAUCUCUACAGCUGUGCAACACCCAUUUGCAGCUGGGCCCAGGAGACCGGGUCUCACACCUGCCUGUCGUUCACAGAGAAUUCCAAUUUCCUCCCUUCUGGGUGGUGAGAUGCAAAGUGGCCCUGUCUCCUGUGUGAGAGAAGAUUAGGGAACUGGUGCAGGGAGGGUUGUGGGGGUGAUGCUCUCACUUCAGGGUGAUGAUGGUCUGUGUUUGUUGGCGUUUGAAACAAAGCACAGUCUUGACACUACUCUGAGCUGUGCUGUGGAUUAUUUCCUCCAACAUAGAAAUCGUGGGCUGUGUACCUAUUUGGGAAUGCAGACAGAGAUAGAGGGGUCGGUAAGCAGAGACCCGACCCAGCUCUUGUGAGAGGUACCCUAUGCCCUGCCUCCUAGCUGGCAACCUAGACUAGAAGAAAGUGGCUGCUUAAAGGUGAACAGACUUCUUGUAGCAGGAACUUUUGCAGCCUAUGCUCAGCUUCAUGAGAUGCAAGAAAGAAGAUCUGCAGUUGAUUGGGUUCUAGAGCAUUUGGACCAGUGCGGUCAAGUUUAUGGAACUUUUCUAAGUCUGUUCUCCACUUGACAAAGAUGAUGAUCGAAACGGAGGUCACCGUUGUGGAUCUGUGGACUUGUUUGAACCAGUCUGUAUGACUUUCCACACCAUGGACUUCACUACGUCUCUGCUGCAAUACAUCAAUGUGAUCGCCAAUGAUCUUGUGUUCGAUCCCAGGUCGAGAGUAUCUUGGAUUAUAAAACGAUACUAAACCAA